UACGAAGGGUGCAAGCGUUACUCGGAAUUACUGGGCGUAAAGCGUGCGUAGGUGGUUUGUUAAGUCUGUUGUGAAAGCCCCGGGCUCAACCUGGGAAUGGCAAUGGAUACUGGCAGGCUAGAGUGCGGUAGAGGGUAGUGGAAUUCCCGGUGUAGCGGUGAAAUGCGUAGAGAUCGGGAGGAACACCAGUGGCGAAGGCGGCUACCUGGACCAGCACUGACACUGAGGCACGAAAGCGUGGGGAGCAAACAGGG
rnacentral:rRNA from 1 species